rnacentral:rRNA from 1 species
CAGCAGCCGCGGUAAUACAGAGGUCCCGAGCGUUGUUCGGAUUCAUUGGGCGUAAAGGGUGUGUAGGAGGCCAGGUAAGUCAGGUGUGAAAUCUCAGAGCUUAACUCUGAAACUGCGCUUGAUACUGCUUGGCUAGAGGAUCGGAGGGGGUAACGGAAUUUAUGGUGUAGCAGUGAAAUGCGUAGAUAUCAUAAGGAACACCGGUGGCGAAGGCGGUUACCUGGAAGAUUCCUGACUCUGAAACACGAAAGCCAGGGGAGCAAACGGGAUUAGAUACCCCGGUAGUCCCUGUCUCUUAUAC